ensembl:lncRNA
AGAUGAGACCUGGAAUUACCUGCAGGCUCGCUCACUCAUCAGUGGUGGUGAGCUGCUGCCAGUUGAGACUUUAGCUGGGGCACUUAGCCAGAAUGCCUACACACAGCCUCUCCAUGUGACCUGGGCUUCCUCACAACGUCGUCCUUGGAUUCCAAGGGUGAACAUCCCAAGAGAGAGAGCCAGAUGGAACCCUUAUGACCUUGCCUUGGAAAAUAAAGAAAACUUCCCUGCAGUUCUUGAGGUAAAGGAGAGGUCUCCGUCUCCGUCUCUGUUUGGACAGCUGAACUCUCUCUCCUUAACCUCCUGGAAGAGGAGGGCUGCUGACUUCCGGGCCCUGGGAAUAUUGCAUUUCCUCCUGCUCCAGGACUGGGAAAGAACCUUAAAGAUCCUUGGAGGUGGCUUGAAAGCCAAUUUUGGGAGCCAGAACUGGAGAGAGGACUGAGGGAGUCUUCGAGAGAUCCAGACACUUCCUCACCUCCUAUUUCGACUGCAACAGCUUCUCUUUGAACUUUCUAUAAAUUGGAAUUCUGCGGAGGGAUUGGUUUUAAAAGGGGGUUCUGCUUCUUUUAAAAAAUUAUCUGGCGUAGACCAGUGUGCCAAAAAUAACUGCAGUGUUUAAAUUAAACCAUUAUAGAAUCUACUCUUAAAUUAACUGUUAGACUUCCUAAGACCCAAGGGAGUGAACAAAGUUGGCUGUUGUGAAGAAAGAAGCUGACAAACGACGUGGCCCCACGUUGAAGCAGCAAAAGAUUCUGGAAGGCAGCUGCUCCAUGGAGCUUUUCUGAGCAUGCUCUCCAAGUCCUAUAGCGGAGUUCCUUAAUUCCUAGAGGACGCUCUUGCAUUCUUGGCUGUUUUCUGUAGUAAGGUGACCACUGACCAUUUUGACUGCUUCAGAUCAGUUUUGUGCUUUGACUUCAAAUGUCAAAGCACAUUUGUAUGUGCUUUGAGAAAUGUAAUGAGAGAUCUGUGUUCACAGGGCACAUAGUAGUUUGAGAAAUGUGCUCAAUAAAUGCUUGUUGUUGAUUGAAUACAUAGUUUUGAAAAUAAUAUUUAACUUUUCUUCUAGAAUACUAACUGGACUCAGAGACUGACCACAGUCACUUGUGACAGUAUCUAACUAGACAUUGUCCUAUUUUCUCCCUAAAAUCCAACUUCAUUACUUUAUGAAUUUCAACCUAACAUCUACCUGUGCUUAGAGGUUUUGCUUUAAUGGAAGAAACAAUCCAUUAUAUAGACUGCAAAUGUUCUCAUAUUUAUCACAGGUAAAUAAAGGAAACUGUCUUUAGAAUAAAGUUUAUUUUUAUUAAGUAUUAGCUCCUAGUUGUUUAAUUUUUAUAAAGGACUCAUUAGAGGAGCAUCCUUGUUGGUUGGCUGUUUUGAUGUUAUUUUCCUCUUAAUUUUAUCCUAAAAAAGAUAGAGUGUAAAUAAUAAUACUAUAUAUUUGUAUCUUGAUUUGUAGUUUAUCAAAUAUUACAUCUGUUUGUCAUAACAAUCCUGAAAAGUAUGUAUUAUUAUCUCCACUUUAAAGAUGAGUGAAAUAGCUAAAUCACUAGUUCAGUGUCCUAUACCCAGCACCUAGCACUGUUUACCUGCAUUUUUAGGGCGGGUGUGUUUAGUUAAGAGACAACGAGUAGGUAACUGUUCUUAACCCUGGAU